UACGUAGGUGACAAGCGUUGUCCGGAUUUACUGGGCGUAAAGAGCGCGCAGGCGGUCGAUCAAGUCGAGUGUGAAAGCCCCCGGCUCAACUGGGGAGGGUCAUUCGAAACUGGUCGACUCGAAGGCAGGAGAGGGUAGUGGAAUUCCCGGUGUAGUGGUGAAAUGCGUAGAUAUCGGGAGGAACACCAGUGGCGAAGGCGGGUCUCUGGGCAACAACUGACGCUGAGGAGCGAAAGCGUGGGGAGCAAACGGGG
rnacentral:rRNA from 1 species